AACGAACGCUGGCGGCAGGCCUAACACAUGCAAGUCGAACGGAUGUAGUAAUACAUUAGUGGCGCACGGGAGAGUAACGCGUGGGAACCUACCUUUUGGUUUGGGAUAACGUCGGGAAACUGACGCUAAUACCGGAUAAGCCCUUCGGGGGAAAGAUUUAUCGCCAAUAGAUGGGCCCGCGUUAGAUUAGCUAGUUGGUGAGGUAACGGCUCACCAAGGCGACGAUCUAUAGCUGGUCUGAGAGGAUGACCAGCCUCACUGGGACUGAGACACGGCCCAGACUCCUACGGGAGGCAGCAGUGGGGAAUAUUGGACAAUGGGGGGCAACCCUGAUCCAGCCAUGCCGCGUGAAUGAUGAAGGCCUUCGGGUUGUAAAGUUCUUUUGGUAGGGACGAUGAUGACGGUACCUACAGAAUAAGCUCCGGCUAACUUCGUGUCCAGCAGCCGCGGUAAU
rnacentral:rRNA from 1 species